rnacentral:lncRNA from 1 species
UGCUGCUGUCGCCGGGGGUGGGAGCUGCGCGAGCCCGCCCGCCCCUCGACUCGGGAGACUGUAAAAGUUUGUCUCAGCUCCAGCAUCCCGAGCCUCAACACGCCCUCAGCCCCUCCAGCUCGAAUAAUGAAGAGACAGUCAAUGCAAUCUGCAAGCGGCGGCCCAUUGUACGCAGCUGAUGGAAAGAAGGCAACCGGGGCCGGCGAGGGCUCCUUGCCCUCUCUCCUCUCCUCAAAUAAACGCGCUCAUGUCUCCUGAUCAGUUAAAAGGUGAAAUGAACACGAUUAAAAGACAAAAAGAGAGACAGAGAUAGAGAGAUAGAGAGAGAGAGGGAGAGAAGAAAAGAAGGAAGAAAAAGAACAAGCUUUCUACAUAUAAAUUCUAAAUUUUAUUCCUCAUGUAGUACAAAGGCAGGCAGUCGAGGGCAGAGAAAGCAGGCAGGGAGAGGGAGACAGGGAGAAGCAAAGAGAACGUGGAGAGAUACGGAGCGAGUGGAAGAGGAAGGAGGAAGGAGAGCAAGCUCCAGGGAACUGGAGGCGCCCUGGACGCCCAGCCCUCCGGCCCAGCCGCCCUCGGACUCUGGACCGCGAGUCGUGGGCACCAGAAGCGAGACUCGGCCAAGUCCUGCCCUACCAGACAGGGAUUGAGAAACGGAAAUUUCACCACCCUCCAGCCAAACUUUCGAGGACUGAUUGCAGAGGAACUGGUGCUCCAGAUGUUGCACUAGAGGCGCUGCAAGUGUGAGCAGAUGGCAGUAGACCUACCUCACAAGUGGGAGCAGAUAUUCUCAAUGUUUCUAUUGAAAUAUCUUUAUUUCCAUUUGCAAGAGGAGCUCUGGAGCCUCAUUCUUGUGGUAGCUACCAAGUUCUGAUAUAAGCUGUUUUCAUCAGGGAACUUUGGCAAGAGAAUGGCUGGAUCAGCAAGUCCAUCUCCAUCAUGGAACAACAACUUGAAGCUCAUCUCUGUUGAUGAGGGAAUUGCUCUGUGUAUAACUGGAUUCAUUGUGCCCAUGAGAGGAGCUAAGUUCAGGAGCCUCCUGUAUUGUCAUUUUGGACUGGAACUCAGAAGCAAGUUUUGAUAGAAAAUCUUAAAGGCUGAACCCACUGGAUGUGGAAAUUCCUAGGCUAGGCAUUGAAUUGGAGCCGCAGCUGCCUGUCUAGGCCACAGUCACAGCAACACUAGAUCCGAGCCACGUCUGCGACCUACACCACAGCUCACAGCAAUGCUGGAUCCUUAACCCACUGAGCAAAGCCAGGGAUAGAACCCACGUCCUCAUGGAUACCAGUCAGAUGUACAGUCUGUAGGAUGGGGGUAGACUGAAUACCUGCUUCACGGAAUACUUGCUUCAAAUCACCUUUCACAUCUUCUUGUUGGAAAGACAAUCAUUGGAGAAUCGUCUUGUUACUGUCAGCAAAACUGAAAAGAAAUCAAGACAUUAAGAAUGCCACAGUGGCCAGCAGUUAAUGAUGCCAGUGUUAUGCAAGCUUCGGCAAAGGAAUUUUUUUCAAGACAGCGUGCCUCACUAGCCAGAAAUCAGGAAAGGUCGAACCUAUCCUUUUUAUCUCAGCUGUUUCUUCAGUCAGUGCAGCCCCUCCUAAUUAAAGUGAAUUGAAACAUGCAUUGCCUUUUCAGCUUAAUUGAGUACUUACUAUGUGUGAAUCACUGCACAGAAUAGGGGAGGGAAAAUGAGGGAGACAAAUAAGAUAUUGUCCCUGCCUUCAUUGGAUUUACAGUUAGUUUAAGGGCUUUUUUUGUCUUCUGCUCUUAAUUAAGUGUAUCCCUAAGACAGGAAAUGAAUGGAAAAGUGUAUUCUGUAAGUAUUUGAAAUCUCCUUAAUAUAAGACGAAAUAAAAACUAAUGUGA